rnacentral:rRNA from 1 species
GAUGAACGCUGGCGGCGUGCCUAAUACAUGCAAGUCGAGCGAACAGAUGAGGAGUUUGCUCCUCUGACGUUAGCGGCGGACGGGUGAGUAACACGUGGAUAACCUACCUAUAAGACUGGGAUAACUUCGGGAAACCGGAGCUAAUACCGGAUAAUAUAUUGAACCGCAUGGUUCAAUAGUGAAAGACGGUUUUGCUGUCACUUAUAGAUGGAUCCGCGCCGCAUUAGCUAGUUGGUAAGGUAACGGCUUACCAAGGCAACGAUGCGUAGCCGACCUGAGAGGGUGAUCGGCCACACUGGAACUGAGACACGGUCCAGACUCCUACGGGAGGCAGCAGUAGGGAAUCUUCCGCAAUGGGCGAAAGCCUGACGGAGCAACGCCGCGUGAGUGAUGAAGGUCUUCGGAUCGUAAAACUCUGUUAUUAGGGAAGAACAAAUGUGUAAGUAACUAUGCACGUCUUGACGGUACCUAAUCAGAAAGCCACGGCUAACUACGUG